rnacentral:tRNA from 1 species
GCGCGGGUGGCGGAACUGGUAGACGCGUACGUUUGAGGGGCGUAUGCCUCUGGCGUAAGGGUUCGAGUCCCUUCCCGCGCA